rnacentral:rRNA from 1 species
CCUACGGGUGCUGCAGUGGGGAAUAUUGGACAAUGGGGGCAACCCUGAUCCAGCCAUGCCGCGUGUGUGAAGAAGGCCCUCGGGGUGUAAAGCACUUUCAGUGAGGAAGAACGCCUGGUGGUUAAUACCCAUCAGGAAAGACAUCACUCACAGAAGAAGCACCGGCUAACUCCGUGCCAGCAGCCGCGGUAAUACGGAGGGUGCGAGCGUUAAUCGGAAUUACUGGGCGUAAAGCGCGCGUAGGUGGCUUGAUAAGCCGGUUGUGAAAGCCCCGGGCUCAACCUGGGAACGGCAUCCGGAACUGUCAAGCUAGAGUGCAGGAGAGGAAGGUAGAAUUCCCGGUGUAGCGGUGAAAUGCGUAGAGAUCGGGAGGAAUACCAGUGGCGAAGGCGGCCUUCUGGACUGACACUGACACUGAGGUGCGAAAGCGUGGGUAGCAAACAGGAUUAGAUACCCCGGUAGUC